rnacentral:rRNA from 1 species
UUAAGCGACUAAGCGUACACGGUGGAUGCCCUGGCAGUCAGAGGCGAUGAAGGACGUGCUAAUCUGCGAAAAGCGUCGGUAAGGUGAUAUGAACCGUUAUAACCGGCGAUGUCCGAAUGGGGAAACCCAGUGCAAUUCGUUGCACUAUCGUUAACUGAAUACAUAGGUUAACGAGGCGAACCGGGGGAACUGAAACAUCUAAGUACCCCGAGGAAAAGAAAUCAACCGAGAUUCCCCCAGUAGCGGCGAGCGAACGGGGAGCAGCCCAGAGUCUGAAUCAGCUUGUGUGUUAGUGGAACGGUCUGGAAAGUCCGACGGUACAGGGUGAUAGUCCCGUACACCAAAAUGCACAGGCUGUGAACUCGAAGAGUAGGGCGGGACACGUGGUAUCCUGUCUGAAUAUGGGGGGACCAUCCUCCAAGGCUAAAUACUCCUGACUGACCGAUAGUGAACCAGUACCGUGAGGGAAAGGCGAAAAGAACCCCGGCGAGGGGAGUGAAAAAGAACCUGAAACCGUGUACGUACAAGCAGUGGGAGCACCUUCGGGUGUGACUGCGUACCUUUUGUAUAAUGGGUCAGCGACUUAUAUUCUGUAGCAAGGUUAACCGUAUAGGGGAGCCGCAGGGAAACCGAGUCUUAACUGGGCGUUAAGUUGCAGGGUAUAGACCCGAAACCCGGUGAUCUAGCCAUGGGCAGGUUGAAGGUUGGGUAACACUAACUGGAGGACCGAACCGACUAAUGUUGAAAAAUUAGCGGAUGACUUGUGGCUGGGGGUGAAAGGCCAAUCAAACCGGGAGAUAGCUGGUUCUCCCCGAAAGCUAUUUAGGUAGCGCCUCGUGAAUUCAUCUUCGGGGGUAGAGCACUGUUUCGGCUAGGGGGUCAUCCCGACUUACCAACCCGAUGCAAACUACGAAUACCGAAGAAUGUUAUCACGGGAGACACACGGCGGGUGCUAACGUCCGUCGUGAAGAGGGAAACAACCCAGACCGCCAGCUAAGGUCCCAAAGUCAUGGUUAAGUGGGAAACGAUGUGGGAAGGCACAGACAGCCAGGAUGUUGGCUUAGAAGCAGCCAUCAUUUAAAGAAAGCGUAAUAGCUCACUGGUCGAGUCGGCCUGCGCGGAAGAUGUAACGGGGCUAAACCAUGCACCGAAGCUGCGGCAGCGACACUAUGUGUUGUUGGGUAGGGGAGCGUUCUGUAAGCCUGCGAAGGUGACCUGUGAGGGUUGCUGGAGGUAUCAGAAGUGCGAAUGCUGACAUAAGUAACGAUAAAGCGGGUGAAAAGCCCGCUCGCCGGAAGACCAAGGGUUCCUGUCCAACGUUAAUCGGGGCAGGGUGAGUCGACCCUAAGGCGAGGCCGAAAGGCGUAGUCGAUGGGAAACAGGUUAAUAUUCCUGUACUUGGUGUUACUGCGAAGGGGGGACGGAGAAGGCUAUGUUAGCCGGGCGACGGUUGUCCCGGUUUAAGCAUGUAGGCUGAUUGUCCAGGCAAAUCCGGAUAAUCAAGGCUGAGGUGUGAUGACGAGGCACUACGGUGCUGAAGUAACAAAUGCCCUGCUUCCAGGAAAAGCCUCUAAGCAUCAGGUAACAUUAAAUCGUACCCCAAACCGACACAGGUGGUCAGGUAGAGAAUACCAAGGCGCUUGAGAGAACUCGGGUGAAGGAACUAGGCAAAAUGGUGCCGUAACUUCGGGAGAAGGCACGCUGGUGUGUAGGUGAAGUCCCUGCGGAUGGAGCUGAGACCAGUCGAAGAUACCAGCUGGCUGCAACUGUUUAUUAAAAACACAGCACUGUGCAAACACGAAAGUGGACGUAUACGGUGUGACGCCUGCCCGGUGCCGGAAGGUUAAUUGAUGGGGUUAUCCGUAAGGAGAAGCUCUUGAUCGAAGCCCCGGUAAACGGCGGCCGUAACUAUAACGGUCCUAAGGUAGCGAAAUUCCUUGUCGGGUAAGUUCCGACCUGCACGAAUGGCGUAAUGAUGGCCAGGCUGUCUCCACCCGAGACUCAGUGAAAUUGAACUCGCUGUGAAGAUGCAGUGUACCCGCGGCAAGACGGAAAGACCCCGUGAACCUUUACUAUAGCUUGACACUGAACAUUGAGCCUUGAUGUGUAGGAUAGGUGGGAGGCUUUGAAGCGUGGACGCCAGUCUGCGUGGAGCCAACCUUGAAAUACCACCCUUUAAUGUUUGAUGUUCUAACGUUGGCCCCUGACCGGGGUUGCGGACAGUGUCUGGUGGGUAGUUUGACUGGGGCGGUCUCCUCCCAAAGCGUAACGGAGGAGCACGAAGGUUAGCUAAUCCUGGUCGGACAUCAGGAGGUUAGUGCAAUGGCAUAAGCUAGCUUGACUGCGAGCGUGACGGCGCGAGCAGGUGCGAAAGCAGGUCAUAGUGAUCCGGUGGUUCUGAAUGGAAGGGCCAUCGCUCAACGGAUAAAAGGUACUCCGGGGAUAACAGGCUGAUACCGCCCAAGAGUUCAUAUCGACGGCGGUGUUUGGCACCUCGAUGUCGGCUCAUCACAUCCUGGGGCUGAAGUAGGUCCCAAGGGUAUGGCUGUUCGCCAUUUAAAGUGGUACGCGAGCUGGGUUUAGAACGUCGUGAGACAGUUCGGUCCCUAUCUGCCGUGGGCGCUGGAGAAUUGAGGGGGGCUGCUCCUAGUACGAGAGGACCGGAGUGGACGCAUCACUGGUGUUCGGGUUGUCAUGCCAAUGGCACUGCCCGGUAGCUAAAUGCGGAAGAGAUAAGUGCUGAAAGCAUCUAAGCACGAAACUUGCCCCGAGAUGAGUUCUCCCUGAGACUUUAAGUCUCCUGAAGGAACGUUGAAGACGACGACGUUGAUAGGCCGGGUGUGUAAGCGCAGCGAUGCGUUGAGCUAACCGGUACUAAUGAACCGUGAGGCUUAACCUU